GCUUCCUGGUCCACCCAGACGUGAACACGCAGCGUCAUACCCCAGCUGCCACAGAUUGCCUUGCAUCAUGCAGGCUAGGACACCCAACAGUGAGUAUCUGCACACUGGAGAGGAUGAGAGCCUAGGAAUUGUUGGGUCCAUAAAGCCAGAUACCUCAGAAGUCCCAACUAGCCACUGUAGACCUGGAAGAUUCCUAGAGAGCCACUGAUCUCCAUUUCAGGAUUCAAGCUGAUGCAACUGGAUUCCAAUGCCACAGCAGUAGCAGUAAUACAGUAGAUGCAUUUGCCAACAAGGGGAAGACAACCAGCAGGCAAAAAGCAAUGGCUUGAGCUGCUGAGGUGGUUCGGCGCAUAAAGGCACUUGCUGCCAAGUCUGAGAGCCUAAGUUCAAUCCCGGGACCUGCAUGGUGGAAGGAAAAAACUGACUCCUACAAGUUGUCCUCUGGUCUCCACACUUGUACCAUGACAUGUAUUCUGGCCUCCAGGUGCCUCAGAGGCCAGAAGAGUCAGAUGCCCUGGAGCUAGAGUCACAGGCAGUGGUGAGCACCUGACAUGGAAUUGUACUCCAGUCCUCUGGAAGACCAGGAAGUGCACAGACACCCCUCAGCCCUGAAAUGGAACAGUUCCAAUAGCAGACUGCCAUGGAGGUGACUUAACAUCCAUCUGCGCUCUCCAUGGAGUGGAUGAUGUCCUCCACUCUGAGGAGGGUUGGUGCUGUUCUCUGCCCACUCUUUUGAUGGUUUAUCUCUUCUAGAAACAUCUUCUUCAUGCCCCAGGAGACAGUGUUUAUCCAGUCCUCUGGGCACCCUGGUUCUAGCAAAGUUGACAUGAGAUUGACCAGGACAUACAGAAGACAGUGCGAGCCCUUCCUUUCCUCUUGACUCCUCACCUGAGAAGUCAUCUUUACUGGGGGCUCAUUGCCAAGGCCGCCGGGAGGCGCUCCCCACCUUUCAGAAUAUCAUCUGGGAAAUCAUGUCAACUUCUGGCUCCUUGGAAUUUACCAUGAGACAAGCUGGCCACCUAAAGAAUACCUAAGAGGACACUGUCAGGGAAGGACAAUGUCACACUGGCCAGAGACUACCAAGUUUAGUUCAGAAAAGGUUUAACUCCCGGUCCAUGCAGCAGUGGGGAGGCACCUUAGGGAAGACUCAAGUGUUUAUAAGAAGGUUCUAGAACAUUGUCCCUUCUUCCUAAAUCUCCCUCAGUAAUAACUGGCACUUGUUGAGGUUUCAUCUAUUGCUAUGCAUUGUAAUGUUAAAUUCUAUACUGGAAGGGCUGUACUUCCACUAUAGAACAUGAGUGACUUCUCGUGUUUACAAGCUUUUGUUGUGCAAACCUUGUUCCUUGAUUUGAAACUCUUGGUUAAAUAAAGUUGGCUACAGCCAGU